UACAGAGGGUGCAAGCGUUAAUCGGAAUUACUGGGCGUAAAGCGUGCGUAGACGGUUAUGUAAGUCAGAUGUGAAAGCCCCGGGCUCAACCUGGGAAUUGCAUUUGAGACUGCAUAGCUAGGGUGCGGAAGAGGGAAGCGGAAUUUCCGGUGUAGCGGUGAAAUGCGUAGAUAUCGGGAGGAACAUCAGUGGCGAAGGCGGCUACCUGGCCCAAUACUGACACUCAGGUGCGACAGCGUGGGGAGCAAACAGG
rnacentral:rRNA from 1 species